rnacentral:rRNA from 1 species
AAUCAACGCGUGGCGGCGUGCCUAACACAUGCAAGUCGAACGAGAAAGUGGAGCAAUCCAUGAGUACAGUGGCGUACGGGUGAGUAACACGUGACUACCUACCCUCGACGUGGGGAAUAACCUCGGGAAACCGGGGCUAAUACCGCAUAACAUCUACGGAUCAAAUAGCGAAAGCAGCUUGAGGAGGGGGUCGCGGCCGAUUAGCUAGUUGGU